AUGUCGAGCUCCGCUUCAGCCUCCCGCCGCUCAUGGCCGCGCUAUGGCGCAGUGCCCAUGACAAGGUGCCCUGCAUGCCCACGUAUCGCACCCCUGAAGCGGCUAGUCACAACGACCGACAAGAAUGGCAACCUUGGGCGGGAAUUCGUGAAAUGCGAGAGCAAACCAGAGCAGGGAAAGAAAUUGAAGCAAUGCACCCAUUUUGAGUGGCUAGAUGAGUACAUAGAGCGGAUUCAACUGGAGGGUGCAUCAGGGGAGCUCGAUUUACCGUUGGAGGCGGAGAAGUUGGGCAAGUUUGGAUCGGGCGCGUCUGGAUCUGGGGCCCCUGGAUCUAGCAAUUCCAUUGGGGGCGCCCAUUCCAUUGGUGCUACUGUGGGGGAUGCAGGAGUGAUGGCAGAGCUGAAGAAGCUGAACAAGCAGAUGAAGAAACUCAUCGAAUUGCAGAAGCAGGGCAAUUUGAUGGGGCUGAUGGCCGGACUUUUUUUAUGUCUGUGUAAUUGCUCUCCAAUUUGUUUAUGU
rnacentral:rRNA from 1 species